CACCCAGGUUCAUUCCCGAACGACUGAU
rnacentral:tRNA from 2 species